rnacentral:lncRNA from 1 species
AUGACCCAGCCAUUCACGGGAUGGCCAGCCCAUCUCCAAUUCCAGAUGCCACAGCAAUGCCAGUGUCACGGCUGUAAGCAUGAGCGUCCCCAAGGAAAGGUCUGGGUCUCUGCUGAACUUUGCCGAUACACACGCUUUUACUCAAUCUUCUCGAAGAAGAGAAAUGAACCCAGAACCCAAGGCGGCUUCCUGGGAUGCCAAAGGACCGACGAGCUCUUGAGGGAGAGCCGAGAACGAUGCUUCCCAGCUGCGAUGCAGGACGGGAAGCUUGCAACACAGGCAGUCCUGGUGAGAUUCUGGGUUUUCCUCACCGGGAGCAGUGUUUGCUCUUUCGCAACAAGCAAUGUGCAGCGUCAGUAAUCAAUGGCAGCUCCCUGCCAACUCAGCUUGCUAAUAAAAGCUGCUCCCAUUUAUAGAAGGUGCA